AACGAACGCUGGCGGCGUGCCUAACACAUGCAAGUCGAACGAGAAAGGGGCUUCGGCCCUGAGUAAAGUGGCGCACGGGUGAGUAACACGUAGGUAACCUGCCUCUAAGAUCGGGAUAACCCGUCGAAAGACGAGCUAAUACCGGAUAAGACCACAGUCUCCUCGGAGAUCGGGGCCAAAGGUAGCCUCUACUUGUAAGCUAUCACUUAGAGAUGGGCCUGCGUACCAUUAGCUAGUUGGNGGGG
rnacentral:rRNA from 1 species